rnacentral:rRNA from 1 species
UGGGGAAUCUUCCGCAAUGGGCGAAAGCCUGACGGAGCAAUGCCGCGUGGGUGAAGAAGGCCUUUUGGUUGUAAAGCACUUUAAGCGAGGAGGAGGAGCUCUAGAUUAAUACUCUAGAUGCUUGGACGUUACUCGCAGAAUAAGCACCGGCUAACUCUGUGCCAGCAGCCGCGGUAAUACAGAGGGUGCAAGCGUUAAUCGGAUUUACUGGGCGUAAAGCGUGCGUAGGCGGUGACUCAAGUCAGAGGU